rnacentral:rRNA from 1 species
GAACGCUGGCGGCGUGCCUAAUACAUGCAAGUAGAACGCUGAAGAGAGGAGCUUGCUCUUCUUGGAUGAGUUGCGAACGGGUGAGUAACGCGUAGGUAACCUGCCUUGUAGCGGGGGAUAACUAUUGGAAACGAUAGCUAAUACCGCAUAACAAUGGGUGACACAUGUCAUUUAUUUGAAAGGGGCAAUUGCUCCACUACAAGAUGGACCUGCGUUGUAUUAGCUAGUAGGUGAGGUAACGGCUCACCUAGGCGACGAUACAUAGCCGACCUGAGAGGGUGAUCGGCCACACUGGGACUGAGACACGGCCCAGACUCCUACGGGAGGCAGCAGUAGGGAAUCUUCGGCAAUGGGGGCAACCCUGACCGAGCAACGCCGCGUGAGUGAAGAAGGUUUUCGGAUCGUAAAGCUCUGUUGUAAGUCAAGAACGAGUGUGAGAGUGGAAAGUUCACACUGUGACGGUAGCUUACCAGAAAGGGACGGCUAACUACGUGCCAGCAGCCGCGGUAAUACGUAGGUCCCGAGCGUUGUCCGGAUUUAUUGGGCGUAAAGCGAGCGCAGGCGGUUUGAUAAGUCUGAAGUUAAAGGCUGUGGCUCGACCAUAGUUCGCUUUGGAAACUGUCAAACUUGAGUGCAGAAGGGGAGAGUGGAAUUCCAUGUGUAGCGGUGAAAUGCGUAGAUAUAUGGAGGAACACCGGUGGCGAAAGCGGCUCUCUGGUCUGUAACUGACGCUGAGGCUCGAAAGCGUGGGGAGCGAACAGGAUUAGAUACCCUGGUAGUCCACGCCGUAAACGAUGAGUGCUAGGUGUUGGAUCCUUUCCGGGAUUCAGUGCCGCAGCUAACGCAUUAAGCACUC